AGGCGAGCGCGCUUAGCCUCCCGGCUGCCCCUCCCCCCCACGCGGCGGGUAAGCGAGUGCAGCCGUGCUGCGGCCGUGUUCCCGGGACUGGGCGGGUGAGUGGCACCCGUGUCCCGUAUCAGCCUCGCUACCUCCCCGCUGCCCACGCAGGGCUCUACGCUGAACUUUCGAGCCGCUGGAGGAAGGACUGGUGCUUGCCCCCUCGGCAGCCGCCCCGACCUGGUUUGCGUUUUCCUUGCCGUAGGUAGGCGGCCUCUCCCAGGAUGGCGGCGUCGGAGGGUCGAAACACCCAGGUUCGAGGAUCCGUGCCUGGGUGUGGAAGUCUCUUCCCUGUGCAUGUUUGCAGCUGGGGCAAGGGUCCACGCUCUGCAGUGGCUGCAGGGCUUGGGUAGCCUUCCAGAAAACGAGAGUCCAGACUUUACCCAAGGAUGGGACACCUUCUGCUCCUCUGUCCAUGAUCUCCCACAAGCUUGGGUUCCCACAUAAAAGAUUCCCAACCUUGGAGAGCAUUCUGGGACAAAAGAAGUGGGAAAUGGCAUGAUUGUCACGCAUGACCUUAUACUACUCCUAGAAGGAAAUGAUACACACAGUUUAACUGAGUAGGUGUUUUAAUGAUUUCUGGUCGAGACAUGCUACUGCGUACAAUUUUAUGCUUUUCCAGUAGAUGAUAGUCAGAGCUUUGGAACUGAUAAUAGAAGGGAAACUUAGAAGAGUUUGUUAGUUGAGAAGAUAAGACUGUACUGACUUCAGCCUUGGUAGAAGAAAAUACAGGAAACUAUGAUCAAGGAUAAAAGGGCUAAAUUUACUUCAUCCCUUUCAAAUUUGUAUCUGAGAUCAUUAUCUUAUUGUUAAUAGCUCCCCUCUUUGAGCUAAAUCAUGCAGUUUAGUAAUUUGUUCCUGCAUCCAAAAAAAUCAGUGUCAUCCAACAAGGACAUUUAAACUCUUCAUACUUUUCUAAACCACACAGCUGUUAAGUGCUAACCAAUUCAUCUUAAGCCAUACAAUCUGAAAAAGCAUUCUGCGGGCUUUUUUAAUUUUAUUUCAUGGAAGAGUUCUGUGUUCUCAAGAGCCAUAUUUAAAAUGUAACCCCACUGGCAAAUAAAAAUAGCUGAGUGUCCUCCCUUCCA
rnacentral:lncRNA from 1 species